UACGGAGGAUCCGAGCGUUAUCCGGAUUUAUAGGGUUUAAAGGGAGCGUAGGCGGGUUGUUAAGUCAGUUGUGAAAGUUUGCGGCUCAACCGUAAAAUUGCAGUUGAUACUGGCAUCCUUGAGUACAGUAGAGGUAGGCGGAAUUCGUGGUGUAGCGGUGAAAUGCUUAGAUAUCACGAAGAACUCCGAUUGCGAAGGCAGCCUGCUGGACUGUAACUGACGCUGAUGCUCGAAAGUGUGGGUAUCAAACAGG
rnacentral:rRNA from 1 species